CAGCAGCCGCGGGAAUACGAAGGGUGCAAGCGUUAAUCGGAAUUACUGGGCGUAAAGCGUGCGUAGGCGGUGAGUUAAGUCUGCUGUGAAAUCCCCGGGCUUAACCUGGGAACUGCGCUUGUGACUGCACAGCUAGAGUAUGGCAGAGGGGGGUGGAAUUCCACGUGUAGCAGUGAAAUGCGUAGAGAUGUGGAGGAACACCGAUGGCGAAGGCAGCCCCCUGGGCCAAUACUGACGCUCAUGCACGAAAGCGUGGGGAGCAAACAGGAUUAGAUACCCGUGUAGUCCCUGUCUCUUAUAA
rnacentral:rRNA from 1 species